rnacentral:rRNA from 1 species
AGAGUUUGAUCCUGGCUCAGGAUGAACGCUGGCGGCGUGCCUAAUACAUGCAAGUCGAGCGAAUGGAUUAAGAGCUUGCUCUUAUGAAGUUAGCGGCGGACGGGUGAGUAACACGUGGGUAACCUACCCAUAAGACUGGGAUAACUCCGGGAAACCGGGGCUAAUACUGGAUAAUAUUUUGGACUGCAUAGUUCGAAAUUGAAAGGCGGCUUCGGCUGUCACUUAUGGAUGGACCCGCGUCGCAUUAGCUAGUUGGUGAGGUAACGGCUCACCAAGGCGACGAUGCGUAGCCCACCUGAGAGGGUGAAUCGACCACACUGGGACUGAGACCCGGCCCAGACUCCUACGGGAGGCAGCAGUUAGGGAAUCUUCCGCAAUGGACGAAAGUCUGACGGAGCAACGCCGCGUGAGUGAUGAAAGGCUUUCGGGUCGUAAAACUCUGUUGUUAGGGAAGAACAAGUGCUAGUUGAAUAAGCUGGCACCUUGACGGUACCUAACCAGAAAGCCACGGCUAACUACGUGCCAGCAGCCGCGGUAAUACGUAGGUGGCAAGCGUUAUCCGGAAUUAUUGGGCGUAAAGCGCGCGCAGGUGGUUUCUUAAGUCUGAUGUGAAAGCCCACGGCUCAACCGUGGAGGGUCAUUGGAAACUGGGAGACUUGAGUGCAGAAGAGGAAAGUGGAAUUCCAUGUGUAGCGGUGAAAUGCGUAGAGAUAUGGAGGAACACCAGUGGCGAAGGCGACUUUCUGGUCUGUAACUGACACUGAGGCGCGAAAGCGUGGGGAGCAAACAGAAUUAGAUACCCUGGUAGUCCACGCCGUAAACGA